rnacentral:rRNA from 1 species
GGCUGCUCCUAGUACGAGAGGACCGGAGUGGACGCAUCACUGGUGUUCGGGUUGUCAUGCCAAUGGCACUGCCCGGUAGCUAAAUGCGGAAGAGAUAAGUGCUGAAAGCAUCUAAGCACGAAACUUGCCCCGAGAUGAGUUCUCCCUGAGACUUUAGGUCUCCUGAAGGAACGUUGAAGACGACGACGUUGAUAGGCCGGGUGUGUAAGCGCAGCGAUGCGUUGAGCUAACCGGUACUAAUGAACCGUGAGGCUUAACCUU